GCGGGUGGCGUCUGUGAUUGGCUACUGGGGACGGCAAAGGUGAGCGGGCGGCGCCCAGGUGGCUUGACUCAAGCGGUGUCUCGGCUGCGGUGUCUCACAAGGAGGCGUGGGUCUCGGGUGAGCUGUCUCGGGUGAGUUUGGUGUCUCGGGUGAGUUGCUCACCAGUUUCGGCCGACCAGGAGGAGCGGGUGAAGGUGCCGCCAUGAGGGUGAAGGUGCACGUGGAGUAUUGCGGGGGAUGAGGUAACGGCCACCAGAGCCGCUUCUGGGGGCUCGAGUCCCGGGUCCAAGCGGAGCUCCCGGGGGUGGAGAUCGUCGGCGUUACGGGGAGGAAAAACAGCUUCGAGGUGAAGGUGAACGGCAAGCUGGUCUACUCCAAGCUGGAGCUGGGAGGGCUCCCCGAGCUGGACGACGUGAUAGCCGUGAUCCGCUGCGCCGUGCAGGGAGAAGACGUGCAGAAGAUCAGCCGCACCCAGCGCCAGUGCAGCAUCGUGUAGCGGCGUGCAGGCGGCGAGGCUCAACCCUCCGCCACCAUCAUCAUCACCACCAUCACCACGACCCUCACCAUCAUCACCAUCACCUGCUCGGUGACGGCUCAGCGCAAAGGGGCACGGCCCACAAGCUGGGCGCUGAUGGACGCAGCGUGGAUGGACGGGUGACGUGGUGGUGGUGGUGGUGGAGUUGGAGUCGAUGGUGUAGGAGGAGGUGUGGUGGUGGUGGUUAACAUAGUGGUGAUGGUGGUCGUGGUGGUGGUGAAGGUGGUGGAAAUGUUUGAAGAGGUGGUUGUUGGUUGUGGAAUUGGGAGUCGAUAAUGAUGUUGGUGGUGAUGACGGUGGUGGUUGAAGUUGUGCGGCAGGAGGAGAAAGCGAUGGUGGUCAAGGUGGUGGUGGUGAUGGAAGUUGGUGGUGGAGGAUUUCUGUGCGUGCGGGCGGUGAACGACACCAUCAUUAUCCGCGACGAGUCCACUGAUGGAUCCCGCGAUGCGGCGAUCCAUCAGAGGCCCCCGACACUCGGCUGGGCUCGCCGGCUCCAUCUCCGCGGUGGCGACCGUCCCUACGGGAGGGUGGCGGUGCCAUCCCCUUCGCGAGAAGUUUGACACGAGCGACGUCCAUUCGUGACGGAAGUUGUCCCACUAACUUGGCAUGGUGUUCAAUAAAUGCGGAGAAAAAACUGAUGAAAAAAUACAA